rnacentral:tRNA from 1 species
AGCUCAGGUGGGAGAGCGCCUGCUUUGCACGCAGGAGGUCAGCGGUUCGAUCCCGCUAGUCUCCACCA